GGGGCUUGUGCCACUGAGCUAUAUCCCUGGCCCUAGAUUAGCUAUUUUUCUAGAAAUGUGUGUAUUUGAAAAAUUUACAUAUGACUCUUCUUUCUAGAAGCCAAAUUAUCCCAUCUCUUAUGUACAUAUUAGGACUCAGUCAUAAAGAAAAGGCAGAUUUAGAGAGGAAAAUUACUAAAUAGAUAAUUCUGGGAUAUUUAUUUUAUGUUUUCUUUGCUGAGAAGACUAGUGCCUGGUGCAUUUUGAAACUUAGAUACUAGAAACAAUAAUGCUGACUUGCGUUUAAGCCCUUAGCUUCUGGGCUGUGGACAUAGCUCAGAGGUGGAGUCCUUGCCUAGUUUGCACAAAGCUCUCAAGUUCAAUCCCUAGCACCACAAAUAAAAUUAAAUAAAUCCUUGGCUUUAUUUUAUUAAUCCUUUUUCUUUCUUUUACCUUUCUCUAGGAUUUUACCUCAUUAUUUUAAGAGUAUGCUGCAAGAGGCAGGUGUGCUGGUGCAUGCCUUUAAUCCCAGCACUCAGGAGGCUUAGGCAGGAGAAUCACUGAGGACCAGCCUGAGCUACAUAGAAAUCCUGAUGUGUCCUGGUUUGUGGAAUCAACUCCCAAGACCAAGAAAUGGAAAAGCCAAGCCAAAAGGAUAGGAUAUUUCAGGCUGGAAAGAAAUAUGCUGAAGCUGGAUGUGGUGGCUUACCCCUGUAAUACCAACAUUUUGGGAGGAUAAGGCAAGGGGAUAGCAAAUUCAAGCCUAGUCUAGAUAAGGGAGAUACAGCCUGCUCAAAUAGAGAAUUGCCUGGCCCCAUGCCAGAUCAAAUGAACUUGAACGUCCACUGAAGUUCUCAAGUGAAUCUUAGAAGUGGGUAUGUUGGAAAGACCUAAUUGUAUCUCAUUUACAAGAAAUAUCCAGGGGGUCAGGAUUUAGCUCAGUGUUGCAGUGCCUGCCUGGCAAGCAUGAAGUCCUGAGUAAGAUUGCAGGUACACCCCCUCAAAAAAAUAUCCAAACUAGGCAAACGUAUAGAGACAGAAAAUAAAUUAAUGGUUACUUAAAUUAGGGGGUGGGCCCUGGCAUAAUGGCUAAGUGGUAUAGGGUGGGGUUUUUGGGUGGGGGUGAUUAAAAUAAUCUAAAAUUUGUGGUUGCUAAAAAGAUUAGCAUUAAAAAGAAGCCAUGUUGGGGCUGGGAGUUUAGC